rnacentral:rRNA from 1 species
GGGGAAUAUUGGACAAUGGGGGAAACCCUGAUCCAGCCAUGCCGCGUGUGUGAAGAAGGCCUUCGGGUUGUAAAGCACUUUAAGCGAGGAGGAAGGGUUCUUAAUUAAUACUUGAGAGCAUUGACGUUACUCGCAGAAUAAGCACCGGCUAACUCUGUGCCAGCAGCCGCGGUAAUACAGAGGGUGCAAGCGUUAAUCGGAAUUACUGGGCGUAAAGCGCGCGUAGGCGGUUGUAUAAGUUGGAUGUGAAAUCCCCGGGCUUAACCUGGGCACUGCAUUCAAAACUGUACGGCUAGAGUGUAGGAGAGGAAGGUAGAAUUCCAGGUGUAGCGGUGAAAUGCGUAGAGAUCUGGAGGAAUACCGAUGGCGAAGGCAGCCUUCUGGCCUAACACUGACGCUGAGGUGCGAAAGCAUGGGGAGCAAA